rnacentral:rRNA from 1 species
CCUACGGGAGGCAGCAGUGGGGAAUUUUGGACAAUGGGCGCAAGCCUGAUCCAGCAAUGCCGCGUGCAGGAUGAAGGCCUUCGGGUUGUAAACUGCUUUUGUACGGAACGAAACGGUUCUUUCUAAUAAAGAGAGCUAAUGACGGUACCGUAAGAAUAAGCACCGGCUAACUACGUGCCAGCAGCCGCGGUAAUACGUAGGGUGCGAGCGUUAAUCGGAAUUACUGGGCGUAAAGCGUGCGCAGGCGGUUAUAUAAGACAGAUGUGAAAUCCCCGGGCUCAACCUGGGACCUGCAUUUGUGACUGUAUAGCUAGAGUACGGUAGAGGGGGAUGAAAUUCCGCGUGUAGCAGUGAAAUGCGUAGAUAUGCGGAGGAACACCGAUGGCGAAGGCAAUCCCCUGGACCUGUACUGACGCUCAUGCACGAAAGCGUGGGGAGCAAACAGGAUUAGAUACCCUGGUAGUCCACGCCCUAAACGAUGUCACUGGUUGUUGGGUCUUCACUGACUCAGUAACGAAGCUAACGCGUGAAGUUCGACCGCCGUGGGGAGGUACGGCCGCGAGGUAGUAACGUAACGAAGUAAGUAGACGCGNGAGAGACGACGACGACGACGACGGAGGGAGGAGG